CCUACGGGUUGCAGCAGUGGGGAAUAUUGCACAAUGGGCGCAAGCCUGAUGCAGCCAUGCCGCGUGUAUGAAGAAGGCCUUCGGGUUGUAAAGUACUUUCAGCGAGGAGGAAGGCAUCAAGGUUAAUAACCUUGGUGAUUGACGUUACUCGCAGAAGAAGCACCGGCUAACUCCGUGCCAGCAGCCGCGGUAAUACGGAGGGUGCAAGCGUUAAACGGAAUUACUGGGCGUAAAGCGCACGCAGGCGGUCUGUCAAGUCGGAUGUGAAAUCCCCGGGCUCAACCUGGGAACUGCAUUCGAAACUGGCAGGCUAGAGUCUUGUAGAGGGGGGUAGAAUUCCAGGUGUAGCGGUGAAAUGCGUAGAGAUCUGGAGGAACACCAGUGGCGAAGGCGACUCUCUGGUCUGUAACUGACGCUGAGGCUCGAAAGCGUGGGGAGCAAACAGGAUUAGAUACCCCAGUAGUC
rnacentral:rRNA from 1 species